AGAGACAGCAGUCGCCGCGGUAAUACGAAGGGUGCAAGCGUUAAUCGGAAUUACUGGGCGUAAAGCGCGCGUAGGUGGUUUGGUAAGAUGGAUGUGAAAUCCCCGGGCUCAACCUGGGAACUGCAUCCAUAACUGCCUGACUAGAGUACGGUAGAGGGUGGUGGAAUUUCCUGUGUAGCGGUGAAAUGCGUAGAUAUAGGAAGGAACACCAGUGGCGAAGGCGACCACCUGGACUGAUACUGACACUGAGGUGCGAAAGCGUGGGGAGCAAACAGGAUUAGAUACCCCUGUAGUCCCUGUCUCUUAUAC
rnacentral:rRNA from 1 species